ACAUUGCUGUUGUAUGGUGGAAAGGCUCUGGAACCAGAAGCUGAAGGAUAACUUGUAGUUAUUCACACCCGGGCUGAGCUGCUGGCUUGCCUUCCUUUCUGUGUACUUCCUCGGAAUCUGCAUGUUACAACGACCAGCUGGAAGUUCAGACCCUUUGUGUAUUUAAAAAGCUGUUGUACCUUUCUCCUUGGGUUGUUAGCUACCUAAGGAGCUGGCAAGUUGUCCGUCAUUUCUCAAAACUCGGCUCCCCGAUUCGCAGAGCAGUGCCACCAAAAGCUGCACUUAUUCUAUUAUACGCGGUGCUUCACCCUCCACAAGAAAUGCAUUUUUGUUGCUUUUCCUUUAUGGGUCAAUCUGGGAAUCGAGUUGUGUCUGUAGGAACCUGGAACAGCAGCGCCUGCCUCGCGGCACAGCAGGAGAGCUCUGGGGCUGUGCACGCCCAGGUCCGGCCCUAUUUGUGGUGGUGAUGGGACGACCGUGCUCAUGUGUGCUUCAGGAAGACAGGCAGCUUGAUCAGAAGCCCAGCAAAAUCACGGUGUAUAUACAUGUAAUAUGAAUCAUGACUCAGAUGCUCGGUAGCACGGCCACUUAGCUCUGGUUGAGAAGCAGCAGGGUAAGGCCCUGUUCUGCAGGGGGCUGCAAAUGCCCUGCAUGGGGGCUGGGGAAAGCAGAGCUCGCUGCUGCACCACAGCCACGUCUCUCGGGCCUCCGAACAGCCCUGCCCUGAACAUGCCUCAGCAGGGAGCGAGGCAAAGCCUCCAGCCCUGGAGAACAAGCGGAGCUCCACCAAAACGAGCAGGCUUACACCGAAAUAAAGCUGACGCGAAACUGCAAGGAGCCAGCACAAUCAGUGUGAUAGUUAUCUUGGGAUGAUGGGAGAGAACGCCUCAAAGCGAAAUUCUGAGCUAGAGAAACAAAGAUAAAAUUAAAAAAUUGAAGGAUUUUCAUUUUUA